CCUACGGGUGGCUGCAGUGGGGAAUAUUGGGCAAUGGGCGAAAGCCUGACCCAGCAAUGCCGCGUGAAUGAAGAAGGUCUUAGGAUUGUAAAAUUCUGUCCUAUGGGAAGAAAAAAAUGACGGUACCAUAGGAGGAAGCCCCGGCUAACUACGUGCCAGCAGCCGCGGUAAUACGUAGGGGGCGAGCGUUGUCCGGAAUCAUUGGGCGUAAAGAGUUCGUAGGCGGCACGUAAAGUCUGGUGUUAAAGGCAGAGGCUCAACUUCUGUACGGCACUGGAUACUUGCGAGCUAGAAUGCGGUAGAGGUAAAGGGAAUUCCUGGUGUAGCGGUGAAAUGCUUAGAUAUCAGGAGGAACAUCGGUGGCGUAAGCGCUUUACUGGGCCGUAAUUGACGCUGAGGAACGAAAGCCAGGGUAGCAAAUGGGAUUAGAUACCCCUGUAGUC
rnacentral:rRNA from 1 species